UCCAGUUUGUCUGAGGGGCUGCCCACGCUCCUCUUUGAUGAGCCUCAUCAUGAAUAAAGAUGGCUUCAAACUGAGUUCUGAGGAGAACCUGGAAAGCGUUGGGGAUCUUGAAAGUCUCUGGCUCUCUGCUUCUCUGGUCCAUGUCCCCACUCCCACGUGCAGAAAAUGGAAUUGUAUGCUCAAAGCAGAUCCUGUUCCAGAGCCCUCUGCUGCAAGCAGACAAUGAGAAGGCACAAAGCAGACUCCACUUUGGUCACCAAUUACAUUGCUUAAAGUUACAGUUACUUUCCCCUUCCCU